UGCCUAAUACAUGCAAGUAGGACGCACAGUUUAUACCGUAGCUUGCUACACCAUAGACUGUGAGUUGCGAACGGGUGAGUAACGCGUAGGUAACCUGCCUAUUAGAGGGGGAUAACUAUUGGAAACGAUAGCUAAUACCGCAUAACAGUAUGUAACACAUGUUAGAUGCUUGAAAGAUGCAAUUGCAUCGCUAGUAGAUGGACCUGCGUUGUAUUAGCUAGUAGGUAGGGUAAAGGCCUACCUAGGCAACGAUACAUAGCCGACCUGAGAGGGUGAUCGGCCACACUGGGACUGAGACACGGCCCAGACUCCUACGGGAGGCAGCAGUAGGGAAUCUUCGGCAAUGGGGGGAACCCUGACCGAGCAACGCCGCGUGAGUGAAGAAGGUUUUCGGAUCGUAAAGCUCUGUUGUUAAGGAAGAACGAGUGUGAGAAUGGAAAGUUCAUGCUGUGACGGUACUUAACCAGAAAGGGACGGCUAACUACGUGCCAGCA
rnacentral:rRNA from 1 species